rnacentral:lncRNA from 1 species
CUGCUUUGUGAGGAGGCUAUGACUAAGGAGUCUGCCCCUCUUGAUAUUUCUGAUGUGAUGUUCACGGAACUCUGGAACUGCAUCAUCAUGCGUAAGGUUCCCAUCUACGGGCCCUAUCUGUUCGCUUAUAUUUGUCAGAAAUGGCAAGAAACUUUUCCAGAGGAGGUGCUCUACGCUCAGUCUGACUACAUUGUGCACGACCCAAUCAAGCUUCGCGUCAAGGAGAAAUAAGCCAACCCAUCAACUUCCUCUCAGCACAUGGAUACUGACACAAAGACUGCUGCUGACAGAGGA